UGGGUGCAACCUAGAAUCACCUGGGAAGU
rnacentral:piRNA from 1 species